UACGAACCGUCCAAACGUUAUUCGGAAUUACUGGGCUUAAAGGGUACGUAGGCGGCGCUGUUAGUCGGGUGUGAAAUCCCUCGGCUCAACCGAGGAAUUGCGCCCGAUACUGCAGUGCUUGAGGGAGACAGAGGUAAGCGGAACUGAUGGUGGAGCGGUGAAAUGCGUUGAUAUCAUCAGGAACACCAGUGGCGAAAGCGGCUUACUGGGUCUCUUCUGACGCUGAGGUACGAAAGCUAGGGGAGCGAAGGGG
rnacentral:rRNA from 1 species